rnacentral:tRNA from 1 species
AGCGUGGGGAGACGUACGGCGGAGCGGUGCGCCGCUUCGAGCGCGACGGCUUCUCGUUCGACACGGGCCCCGGGCUGC